UGGGGAAUAUUGGACAAUGGGGGCAACCCUGAUCCAGCAAUGCCGCGUGAGUGAUGAAGGCCUUCGGGUUGUAAAGCUCUUUUGCCAGGGACGAUGAUGACGGUACCUGGAGAAUAAGCCCCGGCUAACUUCGUGCCAGCAGCCGCGGUAAUACGAAGGGGGCAAGCGUUGUUCGGAAUUACUGGGCGUAAAGGGCGCGUAGGCGGCUUAUCAAGUCAGGCGUGAAAUUCCCGGGCUCAACCUGGGGGCUGCGCUUGAUACUGAUGAGCUUGAAUGCGGGAGAGGAUAGUGGAAUUCCCAGUGUAGAGGUGAAAUUCGUAGAUAUUGGGAAGAACACCAGUGGCGAAGGCGGCUAUCUGGCCCGUAAUUGACGCUGAGGCGCGAAAGCGUGGGGAGCAAACAG
rnacentral:rRNA from 1 species